AUUGAACGCUGGCGGCAGGCCUAACACAUGCAAGUCGAGCGGAUGAAGGGAGCUUGCUCCUGGAUUCAGCGGCGGACGGGUGAGUAAUGCCUAGGAAUCUGCCUGGUAGUGGGGGAUAACGUCCGGAAACGGGCGCUAAUACCGCAUACGUCCUGAGGGAGCAAGUGGGUGAUCUUCGGACCUCACGCUCUCAGAUGAGCCUAGGUCGGAUUAGCUAGUUGGUGGGGUAAAGGCCUACCAAGGCGACGAUCCGUAACUGGUCUGAGAGGAUGAUCAGUCACACUGGAAGUGAGACACGGUCCAGACGCCUACGGGAGGCAGCAGUGGGGAAUAUUGGACAAUGGGCGAAAGCCUGAUCCAGCCAUGCCGCGUGUGUGAAGAAGGUCUUCGGAUUGGAAAGCACUUUAAGGUGGGAGGAAGGGCAGUAAGUUAAUACCUUGCUGUUUUGACGUUACCAACAGAAUAAGCACCGGCUAACUUCGUG
rnacentral:rRNA from 1 species